UUUCUGCAUACAAAGCAGUGGACUUCCAUUAAACUUUGUGAGGUGACAUUUUCCUAGGUCCAAGGAGGGAGCCUAGUCUGGUGGCAGCAGCCCUGGGCUCAGCUCUCUCAACAGAAAUCCAUUCCCAGCUUCUCUCUGACCUCAAUAGGGAAAUUCCAAGGGAUUUGUCUGCUUUUUUUUCCACAUUCUCUCUUACCAGAUCUCCCCAGAGAAGCCCAUUGUCAGGCUUGGGCUGGGAAUCCAGUGAGUCACUACGCAGAGGUUUUGCUGACUUACUGGCUGAGGGCAGGAUGAUACAUUGAGAAGAGAUUGCUUGCAGAAAUGAAUACAACACUUUGUGAGGAAAGAGGGGCGCUAACUACCAUUACAGGCAGAAUUAGAUCCAUUUGCGUCUGCCCCCUGCCCUGGCCUCUCCAACAGGGCCAUGAAUAUGCUGGAGGUGUUUGUGUCUAGCCUGGAGGAGUUUCAGUCAGACCUGCUGGUCCUCUCUGGAUUGCACAUGAUGGAGGGACAAAGCAAGGAGCUCCAGAGGAAGAGACUCUUGGAGGUAAUGGCACUGUUACAGAAUUUCACAGAUCUCAGCUGGUGGUUUUCUUCAGGUUCCAGCCUCUCUUGGCAUCUGCUGUCUUGUUUCCUGUGGAAACAGCAAGCAGCUCUGCACGGUUCUUCUCAUCCUUGCCUUGCAGAAGCCUGUUUAUUUUUGCCUCUGUCACUUCCUGAAGAAAUCAGUGUAUUUUGAAUACAGUGUGGCUUCUUUCUCCUAGGUUCAGUUAGGUCGUGUUUCCUAGCAGUGUCACUAUUCAAGGGUUGAGUCCAUGUCUUGCUCGCUGGAGAAUAUCAAUGUAAUGUAUUUUUCCCAUCGUACAGAGUCUUUGUUGAUUUGCAAAAUGUUGGAUUUGGGGUUCAUACCCAUAUUUUUUGUUGUCAUGGGCAUUUAGGUCAUCAGUCUGUUCUCUUAUUUGCUUGUUCUUUUGUUAAUUCAUUCCCAUGGCUAUAUGCCAGACACAGCAUGAUGCAGAAGGAAUAUGAUAGAGGAUGACACAGGCCCUGCCCUCAGCUCACAGUCUACUGCUGGAGAUAGACACUUGGAAAAAGUAAUUGCGGGCCGGGCAUGGUGGCUCACGCCUGUAAUCCCAGCACUUUGGGAGGCCUAGGCAGGCGGAUCACCUGAGGUCAGAAGUUUAAGACCAGCCUGGCCAACAUGGUGAAACUCCGCCUCUACUGAAAAUACAAAAAUUAGCCAAGCGUGGUGGCAGGUACCUGUAAUCCCAGCUACUCGGGAGGCUGAGGCAGGAGAAUCGCUUGAACCUGGGAGGCAGAGGUUGCAGUGAGCCGAGAUCGCGCCAUUGCGCUCCAACCUGGGCAACAGAGCAAAACUCCAUCUCAAAAAAAAAAAAAAAAAAAAAAAGGAAAAAAGAAAAAGGAAUUGCAAAAUCAUGUGCCUCAGUCCUAUAUUAGGGUACAGUGGUGGCACCGGAAAGGAGGUAAUCAAGUCUGCUUAGGGGUGUUAGAGUUAGGAAAGGCUUCACAUUUAGGGAGGAACUAGCACUUGAACUUGGGUCUUUAAACAGUCAUUCCUCUAAAGCAACUCACUUAGAAGCAACUGGAGCAGCCAGAUAGUCUGACCCUUUGGAUCAGGUGCCCAGAAACCACUGAUGGGCAGCAGGGAAGAGGAGAUGCAGUGAGCUUGGCUGUUGGGAAGAAAUUCAGCCUGCUUAAGUUCCAACUGAAUGAAAGAUGCUCAGGGCAAUGCUGUGAGGAAGAAUGUGCUUUAAACAAUGACAGCCUGUACUGUCUGCAGGGCGUGCGUGCUGCGCACUGUAUGCUGGUAUUUGGAAGUCAUGCUGCCGUUCUGUACUGUCUCUCCUGUGUUUGAGAGCUCAAGUAGGGCUCUCCUGGGAGUCAGGGGGAGCUAAUUACCUUGAAAAAGGCAUAUAGCACCCAUACUAUGUUUCUGUUUCUUGGCUGGGUUUGGGUUUAGGUUUUUGGUUUGUUUCUUGCAGUGCCAUGCUGACCUUAGACCAUUGUUGCUGGGGUCUCCUCAGCCAGAAACCAGCCUGCUUGGAGCCAAGGCUCCCAUGAGGUGCCUGAAAGUGCCCCCACAGCUAGGAGACCUAAAGCCUCUUCCUUUUCUUCCCAUUGUGUUGACUGGGUUUUUCCAGGGGAGGAGUGGGGCCAGUUAAAAGCUCCCCAUGCCAACCGAUUCAUCUUCUCUCACGACCUCUCCAACGGGGCCAUGAAUAUGCUGGAGGUGUUUGUGUCUAGCCUGGAGGAGUUUCAGCCAGACCUGGUGGUCCUCUCUGGAUUGCACAUGAUGGAGGGACAAAGCAAGGAGCUCCAGAGGAAGAGACUCUUGGAGGUAAUGGCACUGUUACAGAAUUUCACAGAUCUCAGCUGGUGGUUUUCUUCAGGUUCCAGCCUCUCUUGGCAUCUGCUGCCUUGUCUUAGGUCCUGGCCUCCCAGGGACAUAUCUUGGCAGCUGGCUGUGGAGCUUGCCUCCUGCUGCAGUGAGGCACCUCACUGUAUCCCUUCAGACGUGGGCAGCAGCUUGAGUAGGACAGGUCAGAACAUCUUCUUGCCUGAGCCUCUGCAUCCUGUGCUAAACCGACCAUGGCUGCAAGCUGCAGGGUUUGUAGUUUGUGUCCUUUGUGUUAUUUGUAUCAUCUCACGUCACAUCAGCUAUGCUGCGACUCCUACAGAUUCGUACAGCAGUCGAAGUGAACUGCCAUCUCUGAUUCUGUAUCCCUGAUGGCUAUGCACAGCCUAGUCUUCCCUGGUGGGAAGAGUGUCCCUUGUCCACAGAGGCGGUGGGGGACCCACAUUGCUUGUAGCUCCCGUGAGCAUGCAAAGAAGGCCAUUACCAGGAGGAACCGCCUCUCAGGAUCUGAUCUUUUCUUCCCUCUUUCUUGACUUCCUUCUAUUUCUAAUGGCAGUGCUUAUCUUCUUCUCUUUGCAGGUUGUAACCUCCAUUUCUGACAUCCCCGCUGGUAUUCCAGUUCACCUAGAGCUGGCCAGUAUGACUAACAGGGAGCUCAUGAGCAGCAUUGUCCAUCAGGUCUUUCCCGCGGUGACUUCCCUUGGGCUGAAUGAACAGGAGCUGUUAUUUCUCACCCAGUCGGCCUCUGGACCUCACUCUUCUCUCUCUUCCUGGAACGGUGUUCCUGAUGUGGGCAUGGUCAGUGACAUCCUCUUCUGGAUCUUGAAAGAACACGGGAGGAGUAAAAGCAGAGUCUCGGAUCUCACCAGGAUCCAUUUCCACACACUGGUCUACCACAUCCUGGCAACUGUGGAUGGACACUGGGCCAACCAGCUGGCAGCUGUGGCUGCAGGAGCUCGUGUGGCUGGGACACAGGCCUGCGCCACAGAAACCAUAGACACCAGCCGAGUGUCUCUGAGGGCACCCCAAGAGUUCAUGACUUCCCAUUCGGAGGCAGGCUCCAGGAUUGUAUUAAACCCAAACAAGCCAGUAGUAGAAUGGCACAGAGAGGGAAUAUCCUUCCACUUCACACCAGUAUUGGUAUGUAGAGACCCCAUUCGAACUGUAGGCCUUGGAGAUGCCAUUUCAGCCGAAGGACUCUUCUAUUCGGAAGUACACCCUCACUAUUAGGAAGAUUGUUAGGGGUAAUUUUUCUGAGGAAGGAGAACUAGCCAGCUUAAGAAUUACAGGAAGAAAGUGGUUUGGAAGACAGCCAAAGAAAUAAAAGCAGAUUAAACUGUAUCAGAUACAUUCCAGCCUGUUGGCAACUCCAUAAAAACAUUUCAGAUUUUAAUCAGAAUUUAGCUAAUGAGACUGGAUUUUUGUUUUUUAUGUUGUGUGUCACAGAGCUAAAAACUCAGUUCCUAAAUCCCCAGUUUAUGCAGCACCAUCAAGUAUUUUAAGCCAAACUUCAAACUUCUUCACCCCUGAGAGCAUGUCAGCUGGAGAAAAGCACUUCUUCCUUGCCCACUUGAGAAGUGCACGCCCACUCACCCAACAUCCUGGUCUCUAGGAAACCUCAUGUGAGGUUCCUCUAUCUCUCAGCUCAGUGCCCAUGGGCAAGGAUCAUGAUUUCCAUUCAGUGUUACAAUGACAAUAUUUAAUGAGCAUAACCUUCUCAGUCUCCUGCCCUCAAAUUUAGGACAGAGCCGCUAAGGACAAAACAAUCCCUCCUGUGCUUUAUGAUGGCAGCAGGGGCUGGGGAGCCUCUGAGGGACUCUUUCAUUCUGCAGUUGUCUGGAAGCCUGGGUGGCGUCAUGAGCUGAAGGAUCGUGCUUUCCUGUCCUGGCUCUGUAGGUUAUAGGCUGGCUGGUGAAAGGUUCACGUGGCCCAGGCUGAACUUCAUUGCCUAGCUUUGGAUGUGCUUUCUGCCGUAAAGACUGAUUUUUGUUCGUUCUGAGCCUUCAAGGAAUUUGCUUUUUAAAACUGGAAUAUGCUCCUGUGUGUAUAACAGAUCACGGAUGUUUUAUGUUUUCAUUGAUCAUUAAAGAGUUUGACAUCAGAGCUCCAGGAUCAUCAGUAAAUCUGUCAUGUUAUAUAUUUAUUUUUUUAUAAAUCAAGACUUCUGUGUGCUCUUAAAUAUAUUAAAAACAAUUUACACUUC
rnacentral:sRNA from 1 species